GCGCACGGCUGCAGGCGUUCUGCCGGGCAAGAACCUCCCGGUGCGCCCGGAGCUGCUCCAAGUUGAGAGUGGCGCAUAACAUGGGGCUGCAGUUGAGGCUUGAAGGGCCAAGGAGUGCCAACUUACCCUGAUUUACCACUUACCGCUGCUUUUCAGCAGUUUGGCUGUGAUUUGUUUAGGUGCUGCUUUUUCCUUAUUUAUUCUCCUUGUGGGUGCGUUAAGGUUCUUGGUUCUCCUCCCACCCCCAACUCUCCCCUGACACACAACGUGGAUGUGGAACUUCUUGAUUCUAUGAGUUGAGAUCUUCAAUCAAUUUUGGGUUGCAGAAAAGGAAGAAGAAUCAGCAGAGAGCAUUUGUGGCCAGCAAAGCUUAAAAUAUUUCCUAACCGAUCCUUUGCAAAAAAAGUUCACCCACUCCUGUAGUCAGCAGCUCCCCUACUGUGCGCAGUCAGUGUGCCAUCUCAGACUAGCAAAGUUGUCCAGAGAGGAAAGACAGGCCAAAAUAGUUCAGUAUGCUGUCUUACUGGGAGGACAACAGCUUAAGCCACAAAGCCCUGAGUUUGACCCUAGAACUCUGUGGCUACUGGUGACUCAUCUUGAAAAUUAUCAGAUUGAAUCUUCUCUACCGGUUUGAUAACAACUGAUGAGUGGAAAAAGAACGCCAAUCAAAUGUGCAUGCUUAAUAAGCAGCCUCCUUAUUCCCCUCUGCAGAUUUGUGCUUGGAUCAUCUACACUUCCCUGAAUGUUGAAGAAGAUAUGCUAUCCAUGCAAUCCUUGUCGACUGCUUGAUUAAAAAGUGGAUAAACUGUCUUCAGGCCCUUGGAGUAUGGUGUCUGUGUGAAGAAGGGAAUGAGGCAGAAGUAGCAGUCAGUGGUGGCUGAAGUAGGAGAAAGUGCUUGCUAAUGAAAUCUUGAUUUUUCUGUGGCUUUUCUGUGCAAUUGGGUGGCUAAGUAGGAAAGCCAUUGGAGCUUCACUGUAUCAAUUCUGCCUUUCUUGUUUUUUGGAACUCCAAUUCACCAAGGCUCCCUGCCACCCUAUCCAUCUAUAACUUUUCAUCACUUUUUCCUCAAAGUAAGAAGUGUGUCCCAGAAAAUGUGCCUUUGUGACUCAGCAACAUUUCAAAUCCAUCUGAGCCUUCCCAGCGUUCCAAAAGAAAUACUGAUUUGAAUUCAGCUGCUUAAAAAACCAGUCUCUAAGCAGACAGCUUGAAACUUCCUUACAGCAAUAGUUUAGGCUUUGGAGGGGAAAUUGGUUUGUUUUUAAUUGUUUUAAUUUUUCAUUCAAUUCAUUUGCCGCCUGAUUAUAUAUGAUCUUUUGAGCCCAAUACUCUGCUAAAUUAACCUUGACUUUCUUUCUCUCUUUCUCUCUCUCUCCUUCUCUCUUUCUUCCUUUCUUUCUUUCUUUUUGACAGAGCCUUGCUCUGUCGCCCAGGCUGGAAUGCAGUGGCACAAUCUCAGCUCACUGUAAACUCCGCCUCCAAAGUUCAAGCAAUUCUCCUGCCUCAGCCUCCUGUGUAGCUGGGAUUACACACGCCAGCCACCAUGCCUGGCUAAUUUUUGUAUUUUUAGUAAAGAUGGAGUUUCACCCUCUUGGCCAAGCUGGUCUCGAACUCCUGACCUCAACCUUGGCCUCUCAAAGUGCUGGGAUUACAAGCAUGAGCCACCAUGCCUGGCCUUACCUUGAUUUUUUUUUUUUGAGACAGAGUCUCACUCUGUUGCUCAGGCUGGAGUGUAGUGGCUCGAUCUUGGCUCACUGCAACCUCCAUCUCCCGGGUUCAAGAGAUUCUCCUGCCUCAGCCUCCCAAGUAGCUGGGACUACAGGUGUGGGCCACCACGCCUAGCUAAUUUUUUAUAUGUUUACUAGAGACAGGGUUUCACCAUGUUGGGCAGGCUGGUCUUGAACUCCUGACCUCAGGUGAUUCACCUGCCUCGGCCUCCCAAAAUGCUGGGAUUACAGGUGUGAGCCACCACACCCGGCCCCUACCUUUGAUUUUUAAGUCAAGAGGGAACAAGUCGAAAUUUCUAUUCAGGUAAACUGUAUACCUUUGGACACUGAAUCACUUUUAGAACCCCAGUAAAAAUCAUGUAUGAAUGACCCACAAUUUCACUCCAACAGGAAGGUGUGUAUAUGUGCACAAAAACAUUAGAUUGUUCACACCGGUGCUAUUCAUAAUAGUCAAAAACUGGAAACAACUCAAACAUCCAUCAACUGUAGAAUGGAUAAAUAAAUCAUGAUAUAUUCAUACCAUGGAACAUAACAGUGACAAUAAAUGAACCACUGCUACACACAACAGAUAUGAAUUUCACAAACAGAAUGCUGAGCAACAGAAGCCAAACACAGAAGGAUACACAUUUAUAAAUCCAUUUGUAUGAAGUUCAUAAACAGACAAAAUUAGUCAGUGGAGAUUAUUCUCAUAGAAGUCUGAAGGGUAGUUGUCUUUAGGGAGGGGGAUAUAGUGACUGAGGUGGGUAUAAGGGGUUUCUGGGGUUUGGUGAUGGUACACCAGCAUAUUCACUCUGAAAACUCAUUGAGCUGUGCAAUAAUGAUUUUUCAAACUUUUAUAUGUGUAUG
rnacentral:lncRNA from 1 species